rnacentral:tRNA from 1 species
GGACCAUAGCUCAGUGGUAGAGGAUGUGCUUUGCAUGCAGAAGGUUCCAGGUUCAGUCCCUGGCAGCUCUA